rnacentral:rRNA from 1 species
UUUCGCAAUGCCCGAAAGGGUGACGAAGCGACGCCGCGUGUGGGAAGAAGGCCUUCGGGUUGUAAACCACUGUCGGGAGUUAGGAAAUGCAGGUGCGUUAAUAGCGCACUUGCUUGACUAAGGCUCCAGAGGAAGCCACGGCUAACUCUGUGCCAGCAGCCGCGGUAAUACAGAGGCGGCAAGCGUUGUUCGGAAUUAUUGGGCGUAAAGAGCACGUAGGCGGCCUUGCAAGUCAGUUGUGAAAGCCUUCCGCUUAACGGAAGAACGGCAUCUGAUACUACAGGGCUUGAGUACGGGAGGGGAGAGUGGAACUUCUGGUGGAGCGGUGAAAUGCGUAGAUAUCAGAAGGAACGCCGGCGGCGAAAGCGACUCUCUAGUCCGAAACUGACGCUGAGUGUGCGAAAGCUAGGGGAGCAAACGGGAUUAGAUACCCCGGUAGUCCUAGCCGUAAACGAUGGGCACUAAGUAGAGGGGUUUU